CCUACGGGCGGCUGCAGUAGGGAAUCAUCCGCAAUGGGCGAAAGCCUGACGGUGCAACGCCGCGUGAGUGAUGAAGGUUUUCGGAUCGUAAAGCUCUGUUGACAGGGAAGAACCCACGCCAGUCGGACAGGCUGGCGUGCUGACGGUACCUGUCCAGAAAGCCCCGGCUAACUACGUGCCAGCAGCCGCGGUAAUACGUAGGGGGCAAGCGUUGUCCGGAAUUAUUGGGCGUAAAGGGCACGCAGGCGGUUUCGUCAGUCCGAUGUGACAGGCCACGGCUCAACCGUGGAAGGCCAUUGGAAACUGCGAAACUUGAGGACAGAAGAGGAGAGUGGAAUUCCACGUGUAGCGGUGAAAUGCGUAGAUAUGUGGAGGAACACCAGUGGUGAAGGCGACUCUCUGGUCUGUACCUGACGCUGAGGUGCGAAAGCAUGGGGAGCAAACAGGAUUAGAUACCCGGGUAGUC
rnacentral:rRNA from 1 species